GAACUGCGAUAAGUAAUGUGAAUUGCAGAAUUCAGUGAAUCAUCGAGUCUUUGAACGCACAUUGCGCCCCCUGGCAUUCCGGGGGGCAUGCCUGUCCGAGCGUCAUUGCUGCCCUUCAAGCCCGGCUUGUGUGUUGGGUCGUCGUCCCCUCCGGGGGACGGGCCCGAAAGGCAGCGGCGGCACCGCGUCCGGUCCUCGAGCGUAUGGGGCUUUGUCACCCGCUCGAUAAGGACCGGCCGGGCGCCAGCCGGCGUCUCCAACCUUUUUUUCUCAGGUUGACCUCUGAUCAGGUAGGGAUACCCGCUGAACUUAAGC
rnacentral:misc_RNA from 1 species